rnacentral:lncRNA from 1 species
AUGUUUCCAUUCCAUCAUAAAGAACAUUUUAUUCAAAUCAAUGUCCAUUCAUUCAUACAAUUGGCAUUUACGUCAUUUACAAAAGAAAACACAAAAAGUACAAGUUUUUUGAAAGUUGACUUUUGAUUAACUGUUGACUUUUUGGUCAACCAGUUGACCAAAGUCAACUAACAUGUUUUUGAUCCACUAAAACUCAUUAUAUAUUUAUCAUCCUUGCAUUCCAUGAUAUUCCAUGUUCAUUGACUUCAUGAAUAAGAAACCUUUUUUUUGUGAAAUUUGCCAUGCCUUGAAGAUUGCUUUGCAACCAUGUCCAUACCUAUAAAACCAUACCAAGUUCAUCAUGUCAUUUAAGCCAAUAAGCAAUACAUUCAUGAUUCACAAAAUUGCAAAUGACAUAAGGAUGCAUACCAUGUAACAAUGCAAGCUUAGCAACCAAAACCACAAGACCUUAACUUUCCACCACCACUAAGCCAUGAUACUUUAAGCAAUAUACAGCCAAACCAAUUCCUAUUAUUCUACACAUACCUGACCUGCAUCAGGACCUGAACAUUCCAUACAUUGCUGCAUUCAACACAUCCUGAUGCUACAGAAGCACAACCCUACAUCAUGGUCAUCAUUU